GGUUCUGGCAUCUAUGAAGAACGCAGCGAAAUGCGAUAAGUAAUGUGAAUUGCAGAAUUCAGUGAAUCAUCGAAUCUUUGAACGCACAUUGCGCCCAUUAGUACUCUAGUGGGCAUGCCUGUUCGAGCGUCAUUACGACCCUUAAGCCUAGCUUAGUAUUGGGAACCUACGUGCGGCAGCUACCCUGUAGCUACCCUGUAGCUCCUUAAAGACAACGGCGGAGACGUGGAGUCCUCUGAGCUUAGUAACUUUUCUAGCUUCUGAAGGCGCCGCGGCCCCUGCCGUAAAACCCCCAACUCUUUAGUGGUUGACCUCGGAUCAGGUAGGAAUACCCGCUGAACUUAAGCAUAUCAAUAAGCGGAGGAAAAGAAACCAACAGGGAUUGCCUUAGUAACGGCGAGUGAAGCGGCAACAGCUCAAAUUUGAAAGCUGGCCUUCGGGUCCGCGUUGUAAUUUGUAGAGGAUGCUUUUGGUUAGGUGCCUUACGAGUUCCCUGGAACGGGACGCCUUAGAGGGUGAGAGCCCCGUACGUUUGGUUACCGAGCCUCUGUAAAGCUCCUUCGACGAGUCGAGUAGUUUGGGAAUGCUGCUCUAAAUGGGAGGUAAAUUUCUUCUAAAGCUAAAUACCGGCCAGAGACCGAUAGCGCACAAGUAGAGUGAUCGAAAGAUGAAAAGCACUUUGAAAAGAGGGUUAAAUAGCACGUGAAAUUGUUGAAAGGGAAGCGUUUAUGACCAGACUUUUUCCUGG
rnacentral:rRNA from 1 species